rnacentral:rRNA from 1 species
AUUGAACGCUGGCGGCAGGCCUAACACAUGCAAGUCGAGCGAGCGGCGGACGGGGGAGUAAGGUAUGGGGACUGCUCGUUAGAGGGGGAUAACUACUGGAAACGGAAGCUAAUACCGAACACUAUCGGAUAAUCCAUUCGGGAUUAGCUAGUAGGUGAGGUAAUGGCUCACCUAGGCGACGAUCCCUAGCUGGUCUGAGAGGAUGAUCAGCCACACUGGGACUGAUACACGGCCCAGACUCCUACGGAGGCAGCAGUAGGGAAUAUUGCACAAUGGGCGCAAGCCUGAUGGAGCCAUGCCGCGUGUGUGAAGAAGGCCCUCGGGUUGUAAAGUACUUUCGGUCGGGAGGCGUUACCGACAGAAGAAGCACCGGCUAACUCCGUGCCAGCAGCCGCGGUAAUUC